ACACGAACCGUCCGAACGUUAUUCGGAAUCACUGGGCUUAAAGGGUGCGUAGGCGGUGCGGUAAGUUGGGUGUGAAAUCCCUCGGCUCAACCGAGGAACUGCGCCCAAUACUGCCGUACUUGAGGGAGACAGAGGUAAGCGGAACUGAUGGUGGAGCGGUGAAAUGCGUUGAUAUCAUCGGGAACACCGGUGGCGAAAGCGGCUUACUGGGUCUCUUCUGACGCUGAGGCACGAAAGCUAGGGGAGCGAACGGGAUUAGAAACCCCGGUAGUCC
rnacentral:rRNA from 1 species